AUGCACUUUCCUCAGAUCAGGGGGGACAUGUGUGGUUGGGUCAGCCCCAUGAUUCGGUUGUUUUAUCUGUUUUUGUUUCAAAAAAAAGGAAAGCAGGUUUUGCUAAAAAAAAAUGUAAAAUCGGCGUGGAGCCAUUAUCUUGUUUUCUACUUUCCUCUCCUCUCCUCGAGUCUCGAUUUGCGCCGGCGGCGGAAGCAAUUCAUCUCCAUGGCGGCGACCGCGCUCCGGACCACCUGCCAGCGGAUCGGUGGCCGCGCCCUCCGGCCAUCGCUGGCCCCGGCGGCGGCGCAGCAGAACCAACCCNNNNNNNNNNNNNNNNNNNNNNNNNNGGCGGCCGCAACUCGUUCGGCUGAGAUCCAUCAGGUCAAAGAGGAGCUCUACCGCAUGAUGUCCGAAAACAGGGACAAGAUAGGAAACCAGAAGGGCCUGAUCAAGCACCUCUCAUCCCAUGUGGAGCCUAAACCCGAGGACCCCGUCUGGCGCUUCUAUCGCAGGGCAAAAUGGUACCAUUUAGUCAUGAUGUAUAGCCCAGCAUUCCUUUAUGGCUACAUGUCUAUGUUGGAUGUGCCUGAUGGCAAGAAGGAGAUGACACCAGCUGAGAAGGAUGAUUUUAACAAGAGGAUGGCCGCGUUGAUGCCCAAUGUAGAACUUUGA
rnacentral:rRNA from 1 species